rnacentral:lncRNA from 1 species
UAGAAAGAAAAUAAAAUAAUAUGAAGAUUGAAAGAAGUGAAAAUUUAGAGAUAACCCAUUUAAAAUUGGUAUGGUUGAACUUUAGUAGUGUGGUGAACCCUAUCCUUGAGUGGAUAGAAACUCUUCCAGAGGUGGUUGGGAUCUGUAUUCUGUUUUGGGUCACCUGGUGAUGGACUACUAUGACCAAUGUAAAUGUGUUAUUUGUAUGUGCAUCCCCUUGUGAUAGUGGAAAUUCUGAUCUCGUAUUGUUACCAAAUGGAUAACGGAUACAUCCGUUCAAUAUAAAAAAAAAUUUUAAAACUUUAAUAACUUCAAUCUAGUUAUUGUGAUGGGGUAAAUUGAGAAUAGAGAAUACCCACUGAGGGGUUACGAAUGUCUUGAUUUGACCGAAAACUUGCAGAACAUUUUUGGUGGUGAUUCUGAAGGAUAAAAGAUGGCUUAAGAAAAACUAUGGGAUAAAAUGGAUCUAGAGGGAUUUUGAGGAAAAAUGAGUCUAAGAGCUUUUGAUGGAUAAUACCUAAGUUUAGGGGGAGUUUAAGAGAUGAGAUAGGAAAUUGAUUACAUUUGCAGUU